GAAUGCUGACAUAAGUAACGAUAAAGCGGGUGAAAAGCCCGCUCGCCGGAAGACCAAGGGUUCCUGUCCAACGUUAAUCGGGGCAGGGUGAGUCGACCCCUAAGGCGAGGCCGAAAGGCGUAGUCGAUGGGAAACGGGUUAAUAUUCCCGUACUUGGUGUUACUGCGAAGGGGGGACGGAGAAGGCUAUGUUGGCCGGGCGACGGUUGUCCCGGUUUAAGCGUGUAGGUGUGUGUUCCAGGUAAAUCCGGUUCACUUUAACACUGAGGCGUGACGACGAGGCACUACGGUGCUGAAGCAACAAAUGCCCUGCUUCCAGGAAAAGCCUCUAAGCAUCAGGUAACACGAAAUCGUACCCCAAACCGACACAGGUGGUCAGGUAGAGAAUACCAAGGCGCUUGAGAGAACUCGGGUGAAGGAACUAGGCAAAAUGGUGCCGUAACUUCGGGAGAAGGCACGCUGACACGUAGGUGAAGUGAUUUACUCAUGGAGCUGAAGUCAGUCGAAGAUACCAGCUGGCUGCAACUGUUUAUUAAAAACACAGCACUGUGCAAACACGAAAGUGGACGUAUACGGUGUGACGCCUGCCCGGUGCCGGAAGGUUAAUUGAUGGGGUCAGCGUAAGCGAAGCUCCUGAUCGAAGCCCCGGUAAACGGCGGCCGUAACUAUAACGGUCCUAAGGUAGCGAAAUUCCUUGUCGGGUAAGUUCCGACCUGCACGAAUGGCGUAAUGAUGGCCAGGCUGUCUCCACCCGAGACUCAGUGAAAUUGAACUCGCUGUGAAGAUGCAGUGUACCCGCGGCAAGACGGAAAGACCCCGUGAACCUUUACUAUAGCUUGACACUGAACAUUGAGCCUUGAUGUGUAGGAUAGGUGGGAGGCUUUGAAGUGUGGACGCCAGUCUGCAUGGAGCCGACCUUGAAAUACCACCCUUUAAUGUUU
rnacentral:rRNA from 1 species